AUUGAACGCUGGCGGCAGGCCUAACACAUGCCAGUCGAACGGUAACAGGAAGAGUCUUGCUUCUUUGCUGACGAGUGGCGGACGGGUGAGUAAUGUCUGGGAAACUGCCUGAUGGAGGGGGAUAACUACUGGAAACGGUAGCUAAUACCGCAUAACGUCGCAAGACCAAAGAGGGGGACCUUCGGGCCUCUUGCCAUCGGAUGUGCCCAGAUGGGAUUAGCUAGGAGGUGGGGUAACGGCUCACCUAGGCGACGAUCCCUAGCUGGUCUGAGAGGAUGACCAGCCACACUGGAACUGAGACGCGGUCCAGACUCCUACGGGAGGCAGCAGUGGGGAAUAUUGGACAAUGGGCGCAAGCCUGAUGCAGCCAUGCCGCGUGUAUGAAGAAGGCCUUCGGGUUGUAAAGUACUUUCCGCGGGGAGGAAGGGAGUAAAGUUAAUACCUUUGCUCAUUGACGUUACCCGCAGAAGAAGCACCGGCUAACUCCGUG
rnacentral:rRNA from 1 species